rnacentral:rRNA from 1 species
GUCCACGCCGUAAACGAUGUCUACUAGCCGUUGGGGGGCUUGACCCUUUAGUGGCGAAGCUAACGCGAUAAGUAGACCGCCUGGGGAGUACGGUCGCAAGAUUAAAACUCAAAUGAAUUGACGGGGGCCCGCACAAGCGGUGGAGCAUGUGGUUUAAUUCGAUGCAACGCGAAAAACCUUACCAGGCCUUGACAUCCUGAGAACUUUCUAGAGAUAGAUUGGUGCCUUCGGGAACUCAGUGAC